rnacentral:rRNA from 1 species
UACGGGAGGCAGCAGUGGGGAAUAUUGCACAAUGGGCGCAAGCCUGAUGCAGCCAUGCCGCGUGUAUGAAAAGGCCUUCGGGUUGUAAAGUACUUUCAGUCGUGAGGAAGGUGUUAAGGUUAAUAACCUUAGCAAUUGACGUUAGCGACAGAAGAAGCACCGGCUAACUCCGUGCCAGCAGCCGCGGUAAUACGGAGGGUGCGAGCGUUAAUCGGAAUUACUGGGCGUAAAGGGCACGCAGGCGGUUAAUUAAGUUGGAUGUGAAAUCCCCGGGCUUAACCUGGGAAUGGCAUUCAAGACUGGUUAGCUAGAGUCUUGUAGAGGGGGUAGAAUUCCAUGUGUAGCGGUGAAAUGCGUAGAGAUGUGGAGGAAUACCGGUGGCGAAGGCGGCCCCUGGGACAAAGACUGACGCUCAUGUGCGAAAGCGUGGGGAGCAAACAGGGAUUAGAUACC